CCCCAGGAUCCACGCGGCCCCACCUGCAAAACCGUGAUUUGUGGAUCAAUUCCGCCCAUCCUUUUUCUCUAGCCCAGAUCGAGAAGGACGCAUCCUGCAACACUACAGUAACGUCGGCGCCCUCCACGGCGUUCGCCGCGGACGAGACGAUACCGGCGCGGCGCUUCAUCAGGUUGUGGCAGCCAACGGCCCUCGCCGGCACGGAGGCGCCGUGCGCCAUCCUGGUGGUGCCGGCCCACUGGGUGACCGAAUCUCCGGCCGUCAACGUCAUCCGUGGCAACAACGACACCAUCUAUAACUUCCCAAGUCCAUGUACCAGGUUUGGUUGCGAGUUGUUGAUCGCUGGGGAUUGGAUUGGAUGGCGCAAUACUACAGGGCCAUCAGCCAUCUACAAUGUCGGCGCCCUCAAUGGCGUCCGCCGUGACUUGCUGCUCUCCGUGCGCUUCAGUGCCGUCCAGACAUGAUGUCUUAGGAGUGUGUGACGGCGCCCUUGACGACAUGCGUGGCGGGGCACGACGGGCUUAUGUGUCCAAUUACUGAUUCCUUCACCUAUUUCUGACAGCAUUAAGGUUGAGUUUUGUCAAGUCAUUUCUUUCAUAUAUGCAAUGGUUUGAGAGAAGGAAGUACGAGAUUAAUCUUUUGAUCUUUGCAAUAUACAUCUUUUAUACAGAGUCCCAGUGUCGAUGCUUUACAAAAUGAAAGAACUAUGUACAAAUUCCCUCUGAUGCUUAAUUGGUUACUUGUUUCUCUCAUUUUCCUUUGUAUUUUGAACAAGUAAAAUACUCUUGGGUCUAUCAGAAGAACAUCAACUUCUGUUUAAGUUUCAGGUGGUGCCGCUGCCCUUCCUCUGCCUGCUACGGACUAGCCCCUCUGCGUCACCCUGCUGACUCCUUGCAUGCAAUCGACGGGCUAGGAUACUAUUGUGAGAUGGUCUGAUACAUAAAAGACGGCCUCAAGCCCCUCUAAGGAAGCAUCCAGUCUCGCCGUUAUACCAAUUUCGCCGGAAAAACGAUCUACUAACUUUGCCGGAGCGCCGACUGCCUGUGCUCCACCUGAGAUACGCCGAACAGCCAAGCCACGAGUAGCCUUGAAGUAGCAAGCUGUUAUGUUUGAAAAUUAAUUUAAAAAAAAACAUGUGUUCUGGGCUUUAUACUUUACCAUGAUCUUUUACUGUGUGCCUGCAACCGUAGCGCCCAUCGGCAUGACCUUGCCAUAC